GUUGAGAGGAAUGUUGUCUGGCUCGAGGUCAUUGAGGCCAUGAUUAUACAGACAUGGCAUUACCUGAUGACAGCCGAGAAAAUUCAAAGUCUGUGUGUAUCUUGUACCUCGAUGAUUCUCGGACCAGGCUUCAUUCCUUCCAAC
rfam:Populus trichocarpa scaffold_7_contig_12, whole genome shotgun sequence.